CAGCAGCCGCGGGAAUACAGAGGGUGCGAGCGUUAAUCGGAUUUACUGGGCGUAAAGCGUGCGUAGGCGGCUUUUUAAGUCGGAUGUGAAAUCACUGAGCUUAACUUAGGAAUUGCAUUCGAUACUGGGAAGCUAGAGUAUGGGAGAGGAUGGUAGAAUUCCAGGUGUAGCGGUGAAAUGCGUAGAGAUCUGGAGGAAUACCGAUGGCGAAGGCAGCCAUCUGGCCUAAUACUGACGCUGAGGUACGAAAGCAUGGGGAGCAAACAGGAUUAGAUACCCCAGUAGUCCCUGUCUCUUAUAA
rnacentral:rRNA from 1 species